rnacentral:lncRNA from 1 species
UGGUGUGAUGUCGAGCAGGAGAAAAGAAGAAGAGGGAGCCAAUUUCAUCAUGACAAUCACAAAAUUGGAUGGUUAAAACUCCAACUCUGCUCUCUUUGAUCAAUUUCUAGCAUUCUUGGUGAAAUAAUGUCUGGAUGGCAACGGGUCAAACGAGUAAUAAAGCAACAACACUCCAACGGGCGAAGGAGCUAAUGCAUAGGAUGAUCGUGACACGCUAGGGUGGACUUGGGCCUUAGUGAUAUA